rnacentral:miRNA from 1 species
CCCGCAGAAUCACUCUGGUGACG